rnacentral:tRNA from 1 species
GCAAGUAUAGUUUAAAAAAAACAUUAGCCUGUGAUCCUAAAGACAGAAGUUAAACCCUUCUUACCUGCC